GAUACUUCAUGUACCUGGAGGAAAGGAAGCAAGCAGGGAGAAUAAUCCAAAACAGCACCAGAGACCAUCCAGUUGAGAACAACUUCCAGAGUGUUCCAGAAGAAAAGAUUCCUCUCUGGCCCUCAUUCUUCAGUGCUACUAUUGGUUUCACCACUUCCAUCACCCAUGUAAUUAACUCAAAUGCUGACAAAACCAGGUCACCAAUCCAAGGGGGCCUUCCUGCCUGCCUUUCUCUGGGUCCUCUGCCGCUGGGUUACAACAUCCCCUUU